UUUUUUUAGUUUUUGAUUUUUGCUGUAUAUUUUUUUUUUUUUUUGUAAAAUCUUGAAUGGUAAUUUGCUUAGUUUUUGGUCUUUUGGUUUUUGGUUUUUUAGUUUUUGAUUUUUGCUGUAUAUUUUAUUUUUUGUAAAAUCUUGAAUGGUAAUUUGCUUAGUUUUUGGUCUUUCUAAGAUUUUUAUUUGAAAAAUAAAUAAAAAAAGUAAUAAUCAAUAAGAAAAAGUCACGUAAUUUGUUAGAACGCUGAAAAAAUGGUUUUUAGAUUCUAUGAAGGAAUUAGUAAAAUCUCAUAGAAUCUGAUUUUCCUAAAUUUAAGGGAAUCUGUU
rnacentral:lncRNA from 1 species